CUUCACAUCCAGCAGCUCCAGGGCAGUGACCCGGGGUUCCCCAGCCAGAUUCUGCAGGAUCUUCAGCCUUGGCCCACAGUGUUUGUAGAAUUCUGUGCAAAUAUUCAGCAGAGAUUCCCGGGGCCUUCUGAAUUCUUCUCGAGCAAUUCGUUCAUCUAGCUCUUCUCUGGGAAGGCCUUGCCCUUCCUCCAGAUUCCUUUCAUUUCCAGGCACUGAAAUGCAACCUAGAGGCCACAGAAGCACAGAGCACAGUAACAUGGAACCAAUGCCUCCAAGACCAUGAGCAUCUGAAGGCUGUAAGCAACAGAGAGAAAACAAAGGCACAUCUGACUGGGUUGUGUGAUAUCCGGGAGCAUGAAAAAGCCACUAGAGACACUGAAUUCUAUUCUCCUUCCUGUGCAACACCAAUCCAAAGCAGUGGAGGCUGCUGGAUGUGUUUACUAUCAUUAAUUAAUUAAGCACUUGGUAACAGGUGAGGAAGCCUGUCUUAAUGAAGCAUAUGAGAUAAGAAGAACUAGCCAUUUGUGCAAAUGGCAAAAGAAGAGCAGAAUAUUGGCAGGACCCCACUGACCAUCCAGAAUAAAAGCCUUCGCUCCCCAGUAAAGCCUCUAUAUAGUAAGGUGCUGGGGGUGACUUUUCAGCUGAAGUUAGAGCCUAUCCUAAGAAGCUGCCUUCAGAAGCUUAAACCAUUUCAUAGCAAGAGUUGGUAGAUGCUCUUAUUUUCCUGUGGUCUGGUAAUGUGUCCUUACUAGAGUGAGUAGACACUAUUCAUUGGAUAGGGUGUACAUUUGGUGUAGUAAAAGAGGUUAGAAACCUCAACUUAAAGAGAAGACGAAAAAUUGUUGGUGUACAACUCCAACAUAAAUAUUUUGUUAUAAGAUUCACCCAAACGAGUUUCAGUUCUUAAGCUGCUCGUUUUAGGAGACAUUGCUCCAUUGAUGGUAUUCUGGAAAACCUGGAACCACUGCAUUAUCCAUUCCCUUCCUCAAAAUUCUGAGACAUUCUGACAUGUCUUUUUCAGCUCUGAGUACUGCUUUCUGAUGGGAUAACUGCAUAGAAUCAGUGCUCUACAGUAAAGUAUGACAAUCUUCAGAACUUGGUGGGUAUGGAGUUACAGCUAUGAUAUAUUUUUAGGUCCUAAUACUUCUGUGAUAGUCUUAGAAAAAGAGUCAAGUGUAUUUCCUGAAAAAAUAAAAGAUUUUGUUAUAGGCUAACUGUCCUAGAAAGGUUGGGUGAGUUUUAAAAUUAUGACAGGAAUCUGGUAGAAGCUAAGACUUCUGGGUAUUUUCUGUAAAGACCACAUUUCUGUAGAAGAAGAAAUCUGUUUAAGUCAAGCUGACAUACAGCAUCGAACAUUGUCCUUUGCCCUCCAUAUGUAAGUACACACAUGUAUACAGGUAUAUGUAUCUACUGGCACAUGAACAUGCAUACACAUACACACACUCUCAUACACACAAGCAUACACACACACACUCUCAUACACACACAGACACACACAAACUAACCAGCUUUGUAAAGAACUAAUACCAUUUCUUGUGUCAAAGAGAACAAGAUACAUAUUAACAUGAGAUAGGCAUUUACUAGUUGAUAAGUAGCAGACAUUGCUGGUGGAAAUGAAAACUGACACAGCCAGUUCAGGAACCCUGUUGGUGAUAUCUACUAAAGCAAAACAUGCAUGUACUUUAUGAUCUAGCAAAGUAUUUUCACACACAGAAAUGCUGAUAUGAAGCCGGGCGGUGGUGGCACACGCCUUUAAUACCAGCACUCGGGAGGCAGAGGCAGGCGGAUCUCUGUGAGUUCGCGA